AGACAGGUCAGAGAGACAGACAGGUGGUUAUACUGCAGAGGAUGUUCUCCUGCCGCCGGAGACACCGCCUGCAGGGAGACAGACAGGUCAGAGAGACAGACAGGUGGUUAUACUGCAGAGGAUGUUCUCCUGCCGCCGGAGACACCGCCUGCAGACAGACAGGUCAGAGAGACAGACAGGUGGUUAUACUGCAGAGGAUGUUCUCCUGCCGCCGGAGACACCGCCUGCAGGGAGACAGGUCAGAGAGACAGACAGGUCAGAGAGACAGACAGG